GUUGUAGUCUGGAGAAGUGCUUUCCGUGCUGGACCGUGUACAAGUCUCUUGGAAUAGAGCGUCAUAGAGGGUGAGAAUCCCGUCUUUGACACGGACUACCAGUGCUUUGUGAUGCGCUCUCAAAGAGUCGAGUUGUUUGGGAAUGCAGCUCAAAAUGGGUGGUAAAUUCCAUCUAAAGCUAAAUAUUGGCGAGAGACCGAUAGCGAACAAGUACCGUGAGGGAAAGAUGAAAAGCACUUUGGAAAGAGAGUUAAACAGUACGUGAAAUUGCUGAAAGGGAAACGCUUGAAGUCAGUCGCGUCGUUUGGAACUCAGCCUUGCUUUUGCUUGGUGCACUUUCUGAAUGACGGGCCAGCAUCAAUUUCGACCGUUGGAAAAAGGUUGGGGGAAUGUGGCACCUUCGGGUGUGUUAUAGCCUCUGGUCACAUACGACGGUUGGGAUUGAGGACCGCAGCACGCCGCAAGGCAGGGGAUAUACCCACUUUCGUGCUUAGGAUGCUGGCAUAAUGGCUUUAAACGACCCGUCUUGAAACACGGACCAAGGAGUCUAACAUGCCUGCGAGUGUUUGGGUGGAAAACCCGAGCGCGUAAUGAAAGUGAAAGUUGAGACCUCUGUUGUGGAGGGCAUCGACGCCCGGACCUGACGUUCUCUGAAGGAUCCGCGGUAGAGCAUGUAUGUUGGGACCCGAAAGAUGGUGAACUAUGCCUGAAUAGGGUGAAGCCAAAGGAAACUCUGGUG
rnacentral:rRNA from 1 species